rnacentral:lncRNA from 1 species
GUCUGGGAGGAGUGGCGGAAAGGUGUGCAGGAUCUGAACUCAAGAUUUCAGUUCCUAAAAUCCAGCUGUCUCUCCUUGCUGUGUGACCUCUAAUGCGAUGUUUGACCUCUCUGAGCUUCAUCUGUAGUUAUGGAAAUAAAAUCCCCACCCCCGCCAGCACUUCAACACAGCCCGCCAAAGACACCUAAACCCACAGAUGAGAUCGUUGAGUCAGACUGUCUGUGAAAACGCUGAAGCCCCAUUCACGGGUGGCAUAGCCAAGGCUCAGAGAGGUUAGGAAGCGGUCCCCAGGCGGCACAGCAAGCCAGGAACGCCACUCGAGACAGCUUCAGCACGGGAUCCAGGCUCGAGUGGAGGGGAGGGUCUGCCGGGGCGGAGGGGCCUCGUCCCCCGCCCUCCCUCUCCGAUCUCCAUCGCUGGCCCCCACCGACUCUGGUCCUGCAAACUGAGUUCUUUGCCCACCUCCUCCUUCCAGCCCUCGCCCUGCAGAGUUCAGCCUGAUCUACACCGGCCGGCCGGAGAGCCGAGCCGGAGGAAAGCAAGCUCAGCCCCAGGGACCUCAGUCGAGCAGAACUCUGUCUCUUGCCAUGAAGCUGCCCCUCCCAUCCCCGCAAAGGAACACACACCGGCAGAAUCCGCCUUUUCAAUAAAAAACUACGACUGGGAAACAGUGAAUUAAAAAGCAUUAACUUAAAAACAAUCCAUGUGUUUGUAAAUGCGUUCCAAAUGGC